rnacentral:misc_RNA from 1 species
CGAGACCGGGCUGGCUGUCGCCGACAUCGAUGACCCAACGGCCAGACCGAUCGACGUCCCCGGGACCCCGGCAUCUGCUGCGGACCGGGGCGACGUAAAGGGUGCGCUCGCGGGGGCAGCGGUGCAGAUGGAGGCCGUCUACACCACGCCGCGCGAAUAUUCCUGUCCGAUGGAGCCGCUUGGAGCAAUAGCAGCCUGGGGCAAUGACGGUGAUCUGACCGUUUGGAUGCCAAGCCAAUGGNNNNNNNNNAGGGCAUUUUCCGACUGGUUUGCAAUUCCGAUGGAGAAGGUCCGCGUUAUUUCGCCGUUCGUGGGC